rnacentral:rRNA from 1 species
GCUUACAACCAUACUGCGUUGAAACCGCCGCAUCUCGUUAGAUCUGCGAAAUUAUACAAUGUUAGGACAAGUUAGUAGUACUGUGCUUGGAGACAACGUGCGAACUGUCCGCAUCGAUCGCA